rnacentral:rRNA from 1 species
UACGUAGGCAGCGAGCGUUUGUUCGGAGUUACUGGGCGUAAAGAGUGCGUAGGCGGUUUUCUAAGUUUGGUGUGAAAUCUCCCGGCUUAACUGGGAGGGUGCGCCGAAGACUGGAAGGCUUGAGUAUGGGAGAGGUAAGCGGAAUUCCUGGUGUAGCGGUGAAAUGCGCAGAUAUCAGGAGGAACACCGAUUGCGAAGGCAGCUCGCUGGGACGUAACUGACGCUGAGACGCGAAAGCGUGGGGAGCAAACAGG